rnacentral:rRNA from 1 species
GACAGAGGUGCCAAGCGUUAGGCGGAAUCACUGGGCUUAAAGCGUGUGUAGGCGGAAUGGUAAGUACCUUGUGAAAUCCCACGGCUCAACCGUGGAACUGCUCGGUAUACUGCUUUUCUUGAGCCACUUAGGGGCUGUCGGAACAAACGGUGGAGCGGUGAAAUGCGUAGAGAUGCGGAGGAACACCGAUGGCGAAGGCAGCCCCCUGGGCUGACACUGACGCUCAGGCACGAAAGCGUGGGGAGCAAACAGG